AUUUAUUAUUAGGGACUGGUGUAUGAAGAACUGCUGAAAAUAGGAAAUCCUCUACAUAAAUCCUGUAUACAAUUUGUUUAUCUUCCACUGAUAAAGAGAGAUCUAAAAGGUAUAAUGGACCAAUGGAAUACUCAUUCCAUACGAAGACAGAAGCUGGGAGAUACCCUGCAUGGAAUUCCAGAAGUAUUGUUUCAAAAUCCUGAAGUUGUUGGUGCUUCAAACUACUUACAUCCUGUUCAGAGAAAUGUUGUGACUGAGUUACAGAGACUUGUCAGAAAUAAUUUCAAGGAGAUUGACGAGGAUUUUGCUUCCGUAGCCUCAUCUAUAUUGAGCCAUUAUAAUUUGCCUUUCCCAGUCAA